UCAGCCGGCCGGGCGACCGCUCCCGUCAGACGUCGAAAGACGGCGGGGGAGGAAAGUCCGGGCUCCACGGAGAGACGGUGCCGGAUAACGUCCGGCGGGGGCGACCCUAGGGAAAGUGCCACAGAAAGCAGACCGCCCCGCCUACAGUUCGGCUCGUCGUGACGAGGGUCACGAGGCAGCGAGCCGCAGUGUCGGCGGGGUAAGGGUGAAAGGGUGGGGUAAGAGCCCACCGCGGCGCCGGCAACGGCGGCGGCAUGGUAAACCCCACCGGGAGCAAGACCGAAUAGGGACGACGCGGCGUGGGAUUUCGUCCCACCGCCAGCCUCUCUCCGGGCCAGUCGUUCGGGUAGGUUGCUAGAGGCGGUCCGCAAGGGCCGUCCCAGAGGAAUGGUCGCCAGGCGGCUCUGCCGCUUACAGAACCCGGCUUACAGGCCGGCUGACACU
rfam:Aurantimonas sp. 22II-16-19i contig3, whole genome shotgun sequence.